rnacentral:rRNA from 1 species
AGGGGUAAAAUUAAUAAAACAUAAAAAAUAAUAGAAAAAAAUUUAUUAUUAAAAAUAUAUAAUGGGGGUUAAAGUAUUUUUAAUAGAAAAAAUUUAUAAAUUUAUAAUUUAGUAGUAUUGUAAAAGAAAUUUAAAAUAAAUGAAAUAUAGAAUUUAAGUAAAAGUAAAUUUAAUUUAUUGUAUCUUGUGUAUCAGAGUUUAUUAAAUAAAAAUUUUUGUAUAAGAAGUUCUCGAAUUUAAAAGAGUUAAUUAAUUAAAAAAGUUAAUGUUGAAUAAUUAUUUUAAAUAAUUAAUUAGAAAUGAAAUGUUAAUCGUUUUUAAAUAUAUCUAGUUUUUUUAGAAAAAAAUUUAAUUUUAAAUUAAAAUAAUUUAAUAAUUAAUUAAUUAAUUAUUAAAAUUUAAAAUUUAAUAUUUUAAGGGAUAAGCUUUAAAUUAAAAAUUUAUAAUAAUUAAUUUAUAAUUGAAAUUUUUAAUAUUUAUAUUGUUUAAAAAUUAUAAUUUUUUAUAAAAAAUUUCAAUUAAAUUAAAAUUUAAAAUAAAAUUUAAUUUUUUAUAAAAAAAUUAUUUUAAAUAAUUAAAAGUUAGAAAUAAUGAUAAAAUUAGUAUAAAAUAUAAAAGAAAAGUAAAAUUUAAUUAAAAUUAAAUUAAAGGAAUUCGGCAAAAAUUUAUAUUCACUUGUUUAUCAAAAACAUGUCUUUUUGAUAAAUAAUUUAAAGUCUAAUCUGCCCACUGAUAUUAAUUAAAGGGCUGCAGUAUAUUGACUGUACAAAGGUAGCAUAAUCAAUAGUCUUUUAAUUGAAGACUUGUAUGAAAGAUUUGAUGAAAUAUAAACUGUCUCUAUUUUAUUAAUAAAAAUUAAUAUUUUAGUUAAAAAGCUAAAAUAAAAUUAAAAGACGAGAAGACCCUAUAGAGUUUAAUAUUUGAUUUUAUUAUAUUAAAAUAUAUAAUUAAUUAAUAAAAUAAAGUAAAAUAUUUUAUUGGGGUGAUGAAAAAAUUUGAUAAACUUUUUUUUUUAUAAAACAUAAAUAAAUGACUAAAUGAUCCAUAAUAUUAUGAUUAUAAGAAAAAAUUACCUUAGGGAUAACAGCGUAAUAUUUUUUUUUAGUACAAAUAAAAAAAAAAGUUUGCGACCUCGAUGUUGGAUUAAGAUAAAAAUUAAAUGCAAAAGUUUAAAUUUUUGAUCUGUUCGAUCAUUAAAAUCUUACAUGAUCUGAGUUCAAACCGGUGUAAGCCAGGUUGGUUUCUAUCUUUAAUAAAAUUUAAUAUUUUAGUACGAAAGGAUCAAAUAUUAAAAAUAAUUUUAUUUAAUUUGAAUAUUAUUAAUAUUAUUAUA